ensembl:lncRNA
GUGGCGCUCUCUGCACUGCGACUGGUUGCAUACUUUGUGCUAUGAAGAAGUCUGACACCAGAGAUGUUUUAAAGAGACGGCAGGCUUCUGUUGUGGCUCGCCACAGGCAAGAGCAGCACCUGAAGAAGAACUUGAAAGUAUCACCCAAGAAAGAUGUGAUGACUAAGACCAACAGCCGAUCAAGGCAGCGUAAUGUUGGUCAUGGGCCAAGAACCUUCAGCUGGGAUCCUGACAAUUUCUGCUCAGAUAGUGACAGUUCUAUAGUGAACAAUGUUGACAAGCCAGUGACCACACUGGCAUCUGUUGUUGACCUCACUGGCAACGUCAGCCCAGCUCAGAGUAGUGAGCGUGUUGUGUUACUGUCGUCUGGUGAGGAGGACGAGGUCCAUCGUUUGGAGUUGGAGAAGUUAAGACAGAGCUCACUUGCUCCUGGUCCAGUUAGAAAAAUAUCCUUACCCCUGAAGUCAAUGGCUGAAGACACUUUGCAAAUGCUCAAAGACUCACCAGGACAACAGCUGAUUUCUUGCAAUCCUUCUAAAUCCCUCACUGAGAGCCAUGAGUGUUUUGACAGUCAGCUGGACACCACCACUUCUGAAGACUCUGUGAGGUCAGGUCCCAGUUCCCCUUACACUCCUCUUACUUCACCCAGAUGCACUGAAUGUGACAAGCUUUUUACCAAAAUGAGGAGACUAGGAUCUCCAAGAACCAAAAAAAGGGACAAAGAUCCAUCCUCUCUGUCAUGUGAUGAAUGGUUGCUCAAAAAAGCAUGGCACCCACAGAGACGACGGCACGUGAAAGGAAAGCUAUGGGUGCACUUAAAGCGGAUUAGGAUGCUUGCUGUGAAGCAUUUGGCUGCUGAAACGACAAAUGCAUCGCCGCUGUGCUCUAGACCUCACGUCUUUCUGCAAAGGAAUUUGCAUCGCUGCAGGAAAAUGUCCAGCAUGCUUGAGAAUCAGUCUGAGAGAAAAGUCAAGUCACGUCCCCGCAGACUUAAAGCCACAAAUGCAUGGCCUCCACUCAAUGCAAAAUAUCAAAGGCAAAAAAAGAGGAAAUCCUCAGAGAAGGACAGUACAUCACAGCAUCUUUCAUCCCUGGACUUCACCAUUGUCACCAAAACCAUGGACAAACGGCCUGCAAAGGAUGAUGCUCAACAUACUGGUUCACAGCGGCAGAACAAGGUUCUAAAGAAGCAAAACUUUAGUGACAUGCGUAAUGUACUGGAUGAACAGACAGGUUGUUAUAGCCUAGAGGGAACCCGCAGGGUGCUGAAAUUUGAUGACUCUAUCUGUACAUUUCAGAGAAAAAAUUCAGAUUUCACAGGAAAGGAUUGUUCUGGGGCAGAAAAAGUUCUUUGUGAAGACCUGGAAGAUUUUAGAACCCCCCCAGACAUCUGCAUUGUGGAGUCUAAGAUUGUCAGGAAAAGUCAUCUGUCAUUCUUUUCCUCUGGCCAUUCGCCUCAUAGGGCACAGAAGGGCAGCUUUAGGUCCAUGUUAGCUGCCUUUGAGAAAAGUCACAACAGGAUUAUUAAAGAAUUCCAUAACUGAGGGUUUUGCAUUGGCUGUCUUACAUUGUGUUGUCCUUGUUCGGAGUUAUUUGUUGAGUUACUCUGUCCUGUCAUGGAGCUAAAAAAGAUACAAAUGGAUGACUGAUUCCUGUAUGGUCUUUGAAAUUUUUCAAAACUUUGGAAACCAAAGUAUGAUGUGAGAAAGCAUAGCAAGAUUUGUUGUUUGUAUGUUUAAGUUUUGAAAAUGUUAAGAACAUCCAUUUGUCAUUGCCAUUAUUUUGUAAGACCAGUAUAACAGGAUGAUACAUUAGUUUGGCAUGGUUUUUGCAUGUUCAGUAGAUGGAAACCUUUGUUUUUGUAUUUCCAAAUGGCUGACACAAAAGCUACAAUGUUUCUGGUGUUGCUGAAACUUUAGGUCACUGUCUAUUUUCACUGACACACUAUACAUGAAUAGAAUAAAUACAAAUAAACUAUGUACAGCACAAAGUAGCAAGUAACAUUGUUGUAUUAGUAUUUUGAUUUAACAAUGUCAUUGUCAGACAGUUUUGCUAAUUUCUAUUUAUGUGAUUUUUUUUUUUUUAUAUUUUAUUUUAACAAUGCUUAUUGCCCAGAGAAUGGCACUUUUUCCCCUGAGAUGUCUUAGUGACUUUUGCACAUUACUGCACAUAACAUAAAUAGUAUGUACAUGUUUUACAGCUCAUUUAGAGCUUCUGGUGGCUUUAUGGUCUGUUUCUUUAUGAAAGCCUACAGUUUGUUGCUCUUAACGAAUAAAUGCUGCUGAAGUUGACGAUGAGCGUGGCUUUCACACGGUUUCGCAGUAUCGACCACACGGGGGCGCAAGUGGCACAUAAACCAUAAAAGUACCGUAGAGUAAGUGGGCUGGCUGUUUUGUAGAUUGGGACCAAACGAGUAUAGUUUAAUUAAAAUGUUCGUAUAACUGCUGAUAAGGAAUAGAGGUAAGAGGUAAAGGUCCGCACUCAGCCAAAUAAUUUACAGG